rnacentral:rRNA from 1 species
UACAGAGGUCUCAAGCGUUGUUCGGAUUCAUUGGGCGUAAAGGGUGCGUAGGUGGCGGGGUAAGUCAGGUGUGAAAUCUCGAGGCUCAACCUCGAAACUGCACUUGAUACUGCCUUGCUCGAGUACUGGAGAGGAGAUUGGAAUUUACGGUGUAGCAGUGAAAUGCGUAGAUAUGACACAGAACACCAAUUGCGAAGGCAGCUCACAAAACUGUAACUGACACUGAGGCACGAAAGCGUGGGGAUCAAACAGG